CUCACCUUCACAGCCAAACUCGUAGCUCUUUCUCUCAUUUUAUAUUUCCUCUUCUUUCACAAAUCCCUCUUGUUCUCUUCUUUCACUGUUGUUUCUCAGACAACAAAUCUUAUAAAUCGAAAGAGUAAAAGCUCCUCAUCCAAGAAAGAAAAUCGUUUGAUCUUAACUCUUCAUUCGUGAGCAAAGACGAACCCUAGAAGAUCCAGUAAACCAAAUCUGUUCACCUAGCAGAUUUAUAUUCGAGGUCUUCUUCUUCUUUGAAGGGUUUUGUAGUGAACAACAUAUUUCAGUCGGUCGGGUGGUGAUGAGACUUAAGUUGAUAUUGUUAAUUCGAGAUUGGAUUCUAAUGUAUUAUAUACUAUUUUCAUGGCUUGAAUGAUUGCUGAUGGAUUUGUUGUUAGUGGUGGAGUAUGCUGGUGAUGUUGGUUACACUAAGGGUGCUGUUAGUGGUGGUGUUUGGAAGUGGUGAUGCUGCUACAAGGUGAUGGUGGUGGUGGUCUCUUAACAAUUACAUGGUCGGUGCGCGCAAUACUGUUCUAAUUGAUGCAUUAUCAAGGCGUAUACCGCUUGUCAGUGACCUUCCCACCAUUAUCUUGGGUGCUGAUGUUACCCAUCUCACCAAGGAUAGGAUUCAAGCCCCUCCAUCGCCGCUGUUGUGGCAUCACAAGAUUGACCUGAGGCGAUGAAGUGUGCUGGUUUCGUGUGUGCUCAAGCCCAUUGCCAAGAGUUGAUUCAGAACUGUGGCCUGAGGCGAUGAAGUAUUGCAAAAUCCAGUUCGAGAACUGUGACGGGAGGCAUGGGAACUUCUUAUCCGUUUCCGUAGAGCAACUGGACAGAAGCCUCAGUAUAAUAUAAUUUGCAGGUAAUUUCAGUGUUCAUAAUGUAGCCAAUUGGCUUAUGUCUACUUCCUUUUCUUUUCUUUUCUUUCGGAUCCAUUUUCUGCUUUCAGGGAUGGAGUAAGUGAGGGUCAGUUUUAUCAAGUUCUACUCUAUGAGCUUGAUGUUAUUCACAAGGACUAAUUAUGAUGGUUUUAAAUCCUUUAAAGCUUUUAACAAUACCAUUGUCUAAAGCUUCAAAAGCCUGAAAACAAAGCUUUCGCUCAACUAUUUCAGAAGAAUAAUGCUGGGAAGAUUUUGGAAUGCCACUUGAACUUGUUAAAUGUGAUUUGUGUUGGUGAUUAUCUACCAGAUAGAGUUAUCAAUCUCAUUCUCCAAUACUUGAGUAACAGGUGUGAAGAACCCUGGUUUGGGUCUAAGUUAUCAUCUGGUUACAAAUUUUGAUUCAUUAAGCAUGGGCUCGACCUUCUAUAAGGUCUUCAAGACGAAACCAAGUGUACUAAGAAAUCACCGAAGAUUUACAACUAGUGAUGAUGGAAAGAUGAAACUCCAGGCAAUGCUUCCUCCAACUUGUUGCUCCUAUCCUCGAAAGUGAACUCUGAUCAGUUGCAGUUGUUGCUAAUUGCUGGCUUGAUCUUCUUUAUGCAUGCAUCUCUAUCAUUUUUAUGUACAUAUAUAGUAGUGUUGUUCUAGUGUUGGGAAGGACACAAAUAGGUGUUACCGUCUUGCAUUCCAUCUUCCAUUCAAAAUGCCUUUGAAGCUUCAACUUGCUGUCUUACAUUAAGAUUCCAUGUAUAACCCAUUAUGUAUCUUGUGCUCGAGAUAUGUCAAGGUCGUGAAUUAAUGAACUAGUAACGUUUGUGUCGUUGUGUCGAUGUUGGACAGAGGCAGGUAAAUAGAUUGACAUCAUAUUGGUUAGGAUACCCACCUUUAUAGAUCACUGUCCUCUCAUGUGCAUGGCAUGGUUAUUGUUUUUAUAAGCAUUUUCUUGAGUAUUGUGACCUCCCCACAUUCCACAUUAAUCAGCUGAUGGCUUUUGCCGUGCAGG